rnacentral:rRNA from 1 species
UCUGGCCUCUUUGGGGUCCGAGUUGUAAUUUGUAGAGGAUGUUUCGGGCACCGCUCCGGUUUAAAUUUCUUGGAACAGAAUGUCAAAGAGGGUGAGAACCCCGUCUUGGACCGGCAGUAGGGCCCAUGUGAAACUCCUUCGACGAGUCGAGUUGUUUGGGAAUGCAGCUCAAAAUGGGUGGUAAAUUUCAUCUAAAGCUAAAUAUUGGCCAGAGACCGAUAGCGCACAAGUAGAGUGAUCGAAAGAUGAAAAGCACUUUGAAAAGAGAGUUAAACAGUACGUGAAAUUGUUGAAAGGGAAGCGCUUGCAACCAGACUUGCGCGCGGCGGUUCCCCCUUCCUUUUGGUUGGGUUAUUCCGCCGUGUCCAGGCCAACAUCGGUUCUGGGGGUCGGUUAAAGGCCUGGGGAAUGUAUCUACCCUUCGGGCGUAGACUUAUAGCCCCGGGUGUCAUGCGACCUCCCGGGACCGAGGAACGCGCUUCGGCUCGGAUGUUGGCGUAAUGGUUGUCAGCGACCCGUCUUGA